rnacentral:rRNA from 1 species
AACAAAAACAUGUCCUUUAGAUUAGAAUUUAAGGUCUAACCUGCCCAAUGAGGAAUUAAAUGGCCGCAGUAUAUUGACUGUGCAAAGGUAGCAUAAUCAUUAGUUUUUUAAUUGAAAGCUAGAAUGAAUGGUUGGACGAGAUAUAUUCUGUCUUUAAAUUAUAUAUAGAAUUUAAUUUUUAAGUUAAAAAGCUUAAAUUUAUUUAAAAGACGAGAAGACCCUAUAGAUUUUUAUAUAAAUUUUAAUAUAUAUAUUAUGGUUAAAAAGUUUUUAUAUUAAAAUUUAUAUUUUAUUGGGGUAAUAAAAAGAUUAAUUUAAUUCUUUUUUAUUUUAACAUAGAUAAUUGAAUUUAAUGAUCCAUUAUUAUUGAUUAUAAGAUUAAGUUACCUUAGGGAUAACAGCGUAAUUUUUUUAAAGAGUUCUUAUCGAUAAAAAAGUUUGCGACCUCGAUGUUG